GGGACUUCUAUAUAAGCUCAAGAUAAUAGGUUUAACUCUUUUCUGAUGCAUCUUGUGUUCUUUAGAAGUCCUGUUGCAAGAAUCUGAAGCAUCUUUUGGUCCAGCUGUUGAAGCUCUAAGGGGAAAGAAAAAUGCAAUAUACCUUAAUAGUGAAUACCUGUCCCUGGAACAAAAGUUGGCCUGGAAUGACACCUUUCCCUCCCUAGUACAGAGAUCUGAAGAUCUUGCAGAACUGCUUGCCUUUCCUGCCCCAUCCACCCCAGCUGCUUGAGCACGCCCUUGGUCAACCGCAGCCCAUUGGACUGCCUUGGCCGCUGGAGGGCACCAAAAAGAAACGUAGCAUCCAAGCUAACAGUAACCCUAGGCUGCCUGUGUCUGUGCAGGGCUGAAGGCAGGAGGGCCUGCGGGGUGCGGGGGGUCUGCAGGAGGGCUUGGGCCCUGCUUCCCUAUAGCUGCCCAAGAGGGAAACAAGGCAUUGUUUCACAUCCCUCUAACUGCAUUAUCAUCUCAUGGAGGUUUACAUAUUCAAAAUCGAAUUCGCAACAUAAAUGGAAUUUAGGGGGGUAAUUGUCGUGUUUCCAAACCAAAAAUACACGAAAAAGUGAUGAAAAUUUGUGUUUGCUUUCAAAUGUCAAUGUACUUAACAGUAAUGAUGUUUAAAAUCUGAGUUAUAACAGAAUCAAAAGGGCAGUGUGUUUUCUCUCCAACCAUAUGCUUUUGAAGGUUUAGAAAAAGCUUUUGUUAAGAGUUUCUCCUUCAACCAUAUCUGUAAGUGGAAGCAAAUUUCUAUGCCUGUGAAAGCUAGGCAAGGGACAUUCUGACCUUA